AUUGAACGCUGGCGGCAGGCCUAACACAUGCAAGUCGAGCGGAUGAUGGGAGCUUGCUCCUGGAUUCAGCGGCGGACGGGUGAGUAAUGCCUAGGAAUCUGCCUGGUAGUGGGGGACAACGUUUCGAAAGGAACGCUAAUACCGCAUACGUCCUACGGGAGAAAGCAGGGGACCUUCGGGCCUUGCGCUAUCAGAUGAGCCUAGGUCGGAUUAGCUUGUUGGUGAGGUAAUGGCUCACCAAGGCGACGAUCCGUAACUGGUCUGAGAGGAUGAUCAGUCACACUGGAACUGAGACACGGUCCAGACUCCUACGGGAGGCAGCAGUGGGGAAUAUUGGACAAUGGGCGAAAGCCUGAUCCAGCCAUGCCGCGUGUGUGAUGAAGGUCUUCGGAUUGUAAAGCACUUUAAGUUGGGAGGAAGGGUUGUAGAUUAAUACUCUGCAAUUUUGACGUUACCGACAGAAUAAGCACGGGCUAACUCUGUGCCAGCCGCCGCCGUAAUAC
rnacentral:rRNA from 1 species